UACGUAGGUGGCAAGUGUUGUCCGGAAUUAUUGGGCGUAAAGCGCGCGCAGGCGGUUAUGUAAGUCUGAUGUUAAAGCCCGGGGCUCAACCUCGGUUCGCAUUGGAAACUGCGUAACUUGAGUGCAGAAGAGGAAAGUGGUAUUCCACGUGUAGCGGUGAAAUGCGUAGAGAUGUGGAGGAACACCAGUGGCGAAGGCGACUUUCUGGUCUGUAACUGACGCUGAGGCGCGAAAGCGUGGGGAGCAAACAGG
rnacentral:rRNA from 1 species